GAUGAACGCUGGCGGCGUGCCUAAUACAUGCAAGUCGAACGAGGUGCUUUUGUAGCAAUACGAGAGUAUCCUAGUGGCGAACGGGUGAGUAACGCGUUGGUGACCUACCCCAAAGUGUGGAAUAACAGUCCGAAAGGAUUGCUAAUACCGCAUGUGGUUAUCGGGUUUAGAAACUGAUAACUAAAGGAGCAAUUCGCUUUGGGAGGGACCUGCGUCCCAUCAGCUAGUUGGUGAGGUAACGGCUCACCAAGGCUACGACGGGUAGGGGACCUGAGAGGGUGACCCCCCACAAUUGAACUGAAACACGGUCCAUACACCUACGGGUGGCAGCAGUAGGGAAUAUUGCACAAUGGGCGAAAGCCUGAUGCAGCAACGCCGCGUGCACGAUGAAGGUCCUCGGAUCGUAAAGUGCUUUUCUGAGAGAUGAGAAAGGACAGUAUCUCAGGAAUAAGUCUCGGCUAACUACGUGCCAGCCGCCGCAGUAACAC
rnacentral:rRNA from 1 species